rnacentral:rRNA from 1 species
GACGAACGCUGGCGGCGUGCUUAACACAUGCAAGUCGAACGGAAAGGCCCUGCUUUUGUGGGGUGCUCGGGUGGCGAACGGGUGAGUAACACGUGAGUAACCUGCCCUUGACUUUGGGAUAACUUCAGGAAACUGGGGCUAAUACCGGAUAGGAGCUCCUGCUGCAUGGUGGGGGUUGGAAAGUUUCGGCGGUUGGGGAUGGACUCGCGGCUUAUCAGCUUGUUGGUGGGGUAGUGGCUUACCAAGGCUUUGACGGGUAGCCGGCCUGAGAGGGUGACCGGCCACAUUGGGACUGAGAUACGGCCCAGACUCCUACGGGAGGCAGCGGUGGGGAAUAUUGCACAAUGGGCGGAAGCCUGAUGGAGCAACGCCGCGUGGGGGAUGACGGCCUUCGGGUUGUAAACCGCUUUCGCGUGUGACGAAGCGUGAGUGACGGUAAUGGGUAAAGAAGCACCGGCUAACUACGU